rnacentral:rRNA from 1 species
GGAGGGGGGCUAGCGUUGUUCGGAAUUACUGGGGCGUAAAGCGCGCGUAGGCGGGCUGGUUAGUUGGGGGGGGGGUGAAAUCCCGAGGCUCAACCUCGGAACUGCCCUCAAUACUGCCAGUCUUGAGUUCGAGAGAGGUGAGUGGAAUUCCUAGUGUAGAGGUGAAAUACGUAGAUAUUAGGAAGAACACCAGUGGCGAAGGCGGCUCACUGGCUCGAUACUGACGCUGAGGCGCGAAAGCGUGGGGAGCAAACAGGAUUAGAUACCCUGGUAGUCCACGCCGUAAACGAUGGGUGCUAGUUGUCAGGCAGCUUGCUGUUUGGUGACGCAGCUAACGCGUUAAGCACCCCGCCUGGGGACUACGGUCGCAAAGACUAA